rnacentral:rRNA from 1 species
GAUGAACGCUAGCGGCAGGCUUAACACAUGCAAGUCGAGGGGCAGCAUGAGACAGAGAUUCGUCGAAGUCUUGAUGGCGACCGGCGCAAGGGUGCGUAACGCGUGAGCAACUUGCCCGUUUCUGGGGAAUAACCGGUGGAAGCGCCGACUAAUACCCCAUAGUAUCAGAUUUAGGCAUCUUUAUCUGAUUAAAGAAUUAUCGGACAAGGAUGGGCAUGCGGGACAUUAGCUAGAUGGCGGGGUAACGGCCCACCAUGGCUACGAUGUCUAGGGGUUCUGAGAGGAAGGUCCCCCACACUGGAACUGAGACACGGUCCAGACUCCUACGGGAGGCAGCAGUGAGGAAUAUUGGUCAAUGGUCAGACGACUGAACCAGCCAUGCCGCGUGAAGGUGACGGCCCUAUGGGUCUUAAACUUCUUUUGCAAGGGAGCAAUAAGAGCUACGUGUAGCUUGAUGAGAGUACCUUGCGAAUAAGCA